rnacentral:lncRNA from 1 species
CUCCGCUGAAAUGUAUCUGAAAAAAGACAAUGAAAAACAAAAUCAUGCGUUCGUUAAAUUAACACCUUAGUGUGUAAUAGUGCGAACUUACUGAUUAAAGAAACCGUUUCUGCUGACAAAGUAGAUUGAUAAUUUAACCUGCGAAUUGUGUCUGUUUCGAAAUUAUUCUUUAAAUCUAAAAAGGCAAUAUAAAACUAUUAACGC